GAGCAUGUGGUUUAAUUCGAUGCAACGCGAAGAACCUUACCUACUCUUGACAUCCAGAGAAUUCGCUAGAGAUAGCUUAGUGCCUUCGGGAACUCUGAGACAGGUGCUGCAUGGCUGUCGUCAGCUCGUGUUGUGAAAUGUUGGGUUAAGUCCCGCAACGAGCGCAACCCUUAUCCUUGUUUGCCAGCACGUAAUGGUGGGAACUCCAGGGAGACUGCCGGUGAUAAACCGGAGGAAGGUGGGGACGACGUCAAGUCAUCAUGGCCCUUACGAGUAGGGCUACACACGUGCUACAAUGGCGUAUACAGAGGGCUGCAAGCUAGCGAUAGUGAGCGAAUCCCACAAAGUACGUCGUAGUCCGGAUNGGAGUCUGCAACUCGACUCCANGAAGUNNNAANCGC
rnacentral:rRNA from 1 species